CCUACGGGUGGCAGCAGUGGGGAAUAUUGCACAAUGGGGGGAACCCUGAUGCAGCGACGCCGCGUGGGUGAGGAAGUACUUCGGUAUGUAAAGCCCUAUCUGCAGGGAAGAAAAUGACGGUACCUGACUCAGAAGCACCGGCUAACUACGUGCCAGCAGCCGCGGUAAUACGGAGGGAGCAAUCGUUAUACGGAUUCACUGGGUGUAAAGGGAGCGUAGACGGCCAAGCAAGCCAGGGGUGAAAGCCCGGGGCCCAACCCCGGGACUGCCCUUGAAACUGCAUGGCUGGAGUGAGGGAGGGGCAGGCGGAAUGCCUGGUGUAGCGGUGAAAUGCGUAGAUAUCAGGAGGAACACCGGCUGCGAAGGCGGCCUGCUGGACCGCGACUGACGUUGAGGCUCGAAAGCGUGGGGAGCGAACAGGAUUAGAUACCCUAGUAGUC
rnacentral:rRNA from 1 species